rnacentral:rRNA from 1 species
GAUGAACGCUGGCGGCGUGCCUAAUACAUGCAAGUCGAGCGAACAGACGAGGAGCUUGCUCCUCUGACGUUAGCGGCGGACGGGUGAGUAACACGUGGAUAACCUACCUAUAAGACUGGGAUAACUGCGGGAAACCGGAGCUAAUACCGGAUAAUAUAUUGAACCGCAUGGUUCAAUAGUGAAAGACGGUUUUGCUGUCACUUAUAGAUGGAUCCGCGCCGCAUUAGCUAGUUGGUAAGGUAACGGCUUACCAAGGCAACGAUGCGUAGCCGACCUGAGAGGGUGAUCGGCCACACUGGAACUGAGACACGGUCCAGACUCCUACGGGAGGCAGCAGUAGGGAAUCUUCCGCAAUGGGCGAAAGCCUGACGGAGCAACGCCGCGUGAGUGAUGAAGGUCUUCGGAUCGUAAAACUCUGUUAUUAGGGAAGAACAAAUGUGUAAGUAACUAUGCACGUCUUGACGGUACCUAAACAGAAAGCCACGGCUAACUACGUG